rnacentral:rRNA from 1 species
GAUGAACGCUGGCGGCGUGCCUAAUACAUGCAAGUCGAGCGAACAGACGAGGAGCUUGCUCCUCUGACGUUAGCGGCGGACGGGUGAGUAACACGUGGAUAACCUACCUAUAAGACUGGGAUAACUUCGGGAAACCGGAGCUAAUACCGGAUAAUAUAUUGAACCGCAUGGUUCAAUAGUGAAAGACGGUUUUGCUGUCACUUAUAGAUGGAUCCGCGCCGCAUUAGCUAGUUGGUAAGGUAACGGCUUACCAAGGCAACGAUGCGUAGCCGACCUGAGAGGGUGAUCGGCCACACUGGAACUGAGACACGGUCCAGACUCCUACGGGAGGCAGCAGUAGGGAAUCUUCCGCAAAGGGCGAAAGCCUGACGGAGCAACGCCGCGUGAUUGAUGAAGGUCUUCGGAUCGUAAAACUCUGUUAUUAGGGAAGAACAAAUGUGUAAGUAACUAUGCACGUCUUGACGGUACCUAAUCAGAAAGCCACGGCUAACUACGUG